rnacentral:rRNA from 1 species
AGAGUUUGAUCCUGGCUCAGGACGAACGCUGGCGGCGUGCUUAAAACAUGCAAGUCGAACGAGGUAGUUAUUAGCACGAAGCAAAUUAAAUAAUAGUUUGUUUCGUGCUGAUAAUUGCUUAGUGGCGGACGGGUGAGUAACGCGUGAGUAAUUUGCCUUCUACUGGGGAAUAACAUUUAGAAAUAGAUGCUAAUACCGCAUAUGACCACAACCCGGCAUCGGGAAGGGGUGAAAGGAGUAAUUCGGUAGGAGAUAAGCUUGCGUAUCAUUAGCUAGUUGGUGAGGGUAAUGGCCCACCAAGGCUUCGAUGAUUAGCCGAUCUGAGAGGAUAAACGGCCACACUGGAACUGAGAUACGGUCCAGACUCCUACGGGAGGCAGCAGUUAGGAAUAUUGGGCAAUGGAGGAAACUCUGACCCAGCAACGCCACGUGAAGGAUGAAGGUUUUCGGAUUGUAAACUUCUGUUCUAUGGGAAAAAACAAAUGAUGGUACCAUAGGAGAAAGCCACGGCUAACUACGUGCCAGCAGCCGCGGUAAUACGUAGGUGGCGAGCGUUGUUCGGAAUGACUGGGCGUAAAGGGAGCGUAGGUUGUUUUUUAAGUUAAAUGUGAAAGCCCGGGGCUUAACUCCGGAAUGCCAUUUGAUACUGGAAAACUAGAGUGCAGGAGGGGUGAGCGGAAUUCCUAGUGUAGCGGUGGAAUGCGUAGAUAUUAGGAAGAACACCAGAGGCGAAGGCGGCUCACUGGACUGUUACUGACACUGAGGCUCGAAAGCGUGGGGAGCAAACAGGAUUAGAUACCCUGGUAGUCCACGCCCUAAACGAUGGAUACUAAACGUGG